GGCGGGAAGUGCUGCCGGUAUGAGCUCCGCCCUACGGUGGGAUUGCGCCUAUGAUGGUGUGGCCCUCACGGUUCGGAUUCGUUUGCUUCAGAAGCAAAAUGGUGGACCUACUAAAGUUCGUUGUGGUGGGUGCGCGAAUCUCGCGGCCGUUCUGGAGCAGCAUGAGGUGCCUCAGGCUGGGACGAGAUCCAUCAGGCUGUAAGGCCCCGCCCGAUACCGCGCAGUGAAUUGUUCAGAGCCGGAGAAGGGAAAUCCCAACCACCCAAGUGUUUUCUUUCAAAGCACAGCAGGUUUCCAAAUUUCCUCCGGUCCUUAUAAGCAACAUAGGAAUGUAAUCUCAAACUCAGAAAAAAAAAAAAAAAAAAAAAGGAUUUAAUUCUUAAAGAGACUUCAGUAUAACCAGUGAUAUCAGGAGCAUAUUAUCUCCAGACUGAAUAACAACGAUCAAGGACAUACAGGACAAAAGAUGAGGGAAAAUGGUCAAGCCAGUUCUAGCAAAUUCUACAAGCUGGCUUCCCUCAGCACAAUCAUGGAGCACAUGGUAGAGAUCCUCAAGCAUGUGGCAGAACUUCCACAUGACAGGACCACACGGAGAUGCAAGCUGAAGAUUAGAGCAGUACAGUGAUCAUUCUGCUUCUAGUUCUGGUAUUAAUUAAAAAAAAAAAUCUCUUUUUAAAAGUCCAGAAAGAAUAGUCAGGAAAGGUGUGGUUACUGCAAAUAAUGCAUUCUGCCCACAUGAUGAACUGAUUAGGUUCAACUCAGAUAUUACGGGUGAGAUUGUAGAUCUGCUGUGACUCCCAGUCUCUACUGAGUAGACAGCAGGGAAAUUUCAUCUUCCUCAGACUCAGAAAUACUCCGUUCUCCAUGCAACAGGAGGCUUGCACUAAAAGAUUUUAAUUUUGAAACAAUUAAGACAUCUGCCUUAAUGCACAAUUACAAGUAGAGCAUAAAAUUAAGAGGUGCAAGUGAUGGCUUGGAAAACGGUACAUGAAAUAAAAUAAUACCAUCCUUUAUCCUGUUGCUACACCUUCAGCUGGAAUGUUAUGGUUAGUUCUGGCCACCCUAACUUAAAAAAAAAAAAAAAAAGGGCUAUGACAAAAAUAGACUCAAUCUACAGAUAAGAUAGACAAUCAUUAACUUCCUACUAAAGACUGAAAAUACUAAAGAUGUUUAGUUAAGGGAGAAGGUAAAUAAGAUGGCUUGAAAUUUAUGAGAUUAUUAAGGAGAAAGAAAAGAAAUAGCUCUCCCAUAUCAUACAAAACAGAAGAUAUCAGCAUAAAAUUUAAAAAUAAAAAGAAAACUAGAAGAAGGAAGUAAGUAUAAAAACAACAUCAAUUCUACAUUUGUAGACUAGGAUGGUAGUUUACUAGAAAAGCUGUUGGGAUAAACUACAUAAAAAACAAUACUUAAUUUAUGAAACUCAGCCAUAAGGGCCUGCAAGACCAAUUAUAAGCAAAGUUUAAAAGUUGUUUACAUACAUAUGGAAACAUAUAGACAGCAGUGGAGGGCAAGGGAUGGGGCAGGGCACGCCUAGUGUGUAACGCUGGUGAAAUCAUGUUUGAUGUUCCAGAUGACGCUGUGAAGUUCCAGAAAUCAUGGGAGCUGGCUAUAACCACGCUAGUUUGGGUACAGCUCUCAAGGUAGCUUAACAGCCCAGAGCUUUGCAUGAUGUACUUAUCCCGUGUCACUGCAGUCAGUAUGUAACUCAGCUAUUUCUGCAUGAUCUGCAGUCUCACCUCUGACUACACGGUCACUACAACAUCAACAAUUCCCUCAUCAAAUUGUCUCCCAAGGGUAUAACAUAAAGUCAAAGACCUCCAACUGAUGAGGGCAGACAGAUUUGCUACAGAUCUCGCAACCUACUGGCCACGUAAAUCUACCAAGGAAGCAAAGAAAACUCAUUUCAGAGAAGUCCAACUCUGGAAAACACACCACUUUCAUGUGACAUGGGAAACUACGUCAGACAACAGAGCGAUCCUGCAGUGUCCCACUACAUCACCUGGUCCAAUUUGGCCAGUUAUUGCCACAGGUUUACAGGAACUGGCUUAGAGAUGGAAGUGUUACAGUACAUUGCCUUGAAGGGGAGUGUGGGCUGAUAAUGCCCUGGAGCAGUGUAUCAGAGGUACCUUUAUCAGGUGAUCUUUCAGACAUUUACAAACAGUAAUUAAGUACUGCACCACCCUUGUGAUGUAGGGGUAAUUUCUCACCCCCCAUUUCACAAAGCAAGAAGCCAGAGCACACAUGACCUGGAAAAAGAACCUUCUGCUCUCAUAUCCCAGACUGGGUCUUUAAGCACUCCUCUGUGUUUCUUUGCCAUAGCCAGUACCCUAAACAUACCCCCCCCAAGGAACACACUGAACACAAAGGGUCAAAUCUGGGAACCACCGAACAAGAACAGUGAGGGUUGCUCACAGCAGUAUGGCAUCUUGGGGAGCCUAAUGGAUAAAUCAUGGCUAUUCUCCCAGCUCCCGCUAGGGCUGGGAAUUAGAGUUGGAAGGAGGCUUGUAAAACUCUCAAGUAUUUCCUUCAAGUCAGAACUGCCAUUCCCAUGUAUCUCAUCCUACCCCUUUCAAAGGGAUUAAAGCCAUGGAAGGAAACUCCCUUCUCCAAAGCCCUCUGUUCCCUUUGUAUACUUGUGAGAAGACAAAUAAAUCUGCCUAUCAGCAAAUCGUUCAAGUAAAUUUAUUGUCAUCAUGAAAUGACUUUGCCUAGUCUUAGAUUAAGAUCAACAAUAAAUUCCUGACCACAAAGACACGAAAAAGGCCAGAGCUCUCCUUACUCAACAAGUGUAUCUUCACUGCAUCUCUCAGCAGAUGUAUGUUUUAACAAAGGGUUUGUAAAAGGAUUGGGAAGCUGUAGGCUGAGAGGGAAGCAAUGCCAAGUGGCAUUUGAAAAGGACAGAGGGCUAGAGGAAAGGACAAAUUAAAUAUGAGGAGUGAAGAUUGCUGCUCUGUACCAUCAGAAAACACAAAAACAUUUCACACCCAACUGCUGGCAUUAAAGCUUGCGGCCUCUCCUGUUUCAGUCAUUGGGAGAGAAUAAAAGGAACUCCCUGCUGGAGUCAUCUGGCAUUGCUGCUUUGGCUUUAGCACUAUUUUGCUUUGGAGUAGCUGAGCAGCCAGGUCUCUGCAAAAGCUGGAUCACUGACAAGCCUUUCCAUUUUACCAUAAAUAAAGUGAGCUCACUGUGGCAUUGCAAUUGGACCCUUUUUUGCCCAGAUAAUUUCCCAGGGAUUUUGGUUAAGGAGGAUUAAGUAUUGACCUCCUCAGGGUACCUGACAGAAACCACAGCUUUUGCUUCCAGACAUAAAUCUCUAUCAGCCCGGGAAAAAUUCCUUCAGUCUCUUCUCUCCUGGCAGACAGAAAUUCUGCUUGACUCUCUCCACUCCAGCAAUCCCACCUCAUAGGCAUCCUCCUUUGCCUAGGCCUGAGCAGUAUGACCUUGUGGAUUACCAGAGGGUCUCCGAAGUAAAACUGCUGAAGUGCUGCGUUUGUCUCAAACAUGAGGUGAUGGAUCACAGAUCACAGAAAAGAGAUCACAGCAGAUCACAGGAAGAAUAUCCUGUAAAUCCUGGUAAAAAUAAGGAUUAUUCUGAAGUACUUCUCACUACUAGAGAUACCAAAACACAGGUGUGACUUAGCAGCACUAUUGCCCACACAAUAGGAAAGAAGCAAGAGCACGAAAGUUAGGAGAACCCACUUGCAAAGGCACACAGAUGCCUGAAGAUACACACCAUUUCCAAAAGGCAGUAAUAAAUAGCACGUAGGUUCUUUUGAGAAUUGAGGACAGCACAUUUAUGGUAAGCACCCAGCAGCUAAAUCCUUACUAGAUGAGAGCAUAGCAUUUCCUGUCACCUUUCAGUGGUCUGGUCUCAUUCAAAGUCUGGACUAAACAGUCUUCAUUGCACAACAGCGAAGUGACAGAAUCCUUAUGACCAGCUCUAUAUUCAUCUUUCUGGUCCAUAUUUUACCAUAUUAUUUUUAAAGGCAAGAUUGAAAAAAGCAAGUUUUGCAAAGUAAAGGCUAUUAAAAUAUCAGAGUGUCAGUGUGUUUGAUAAACAGGUUCUAAGUUAUAGUGCACGUGUAAAGCUAUCAUAUAACUCUGACUCUUGGUGCAACAGACAUUUCACCUGCAAUGCUUUCCUGUUUGAAUGGAAAAAAGGAGCACUUGGAGGAAGAGAGUAGGAAAAAAAAAAAAUCAUCUUAAACUUAAGAAAGCCUCCAUGCCCAAGAUGGAGAGCAACAUGACAUAGUGCCUCAGCAUAAUCACUUUGGUUAUAUCACCCUUCAGUUGUUCCGUCCUUGGCAGGCUUUGCCAGAAUUUUCCUGAUUUAAACCUGAGUAAAACGGAGAAGAUACAUGCUUGUAAUUGGGAAAUACAUGGUGAAGAGGGAGGAGGGACCCACCCCCAGUGCAGCAUGGUUAAACACGCCAGGCUGACUUAGAUAAUGUGUGCGGUUACAAUUUUUCACCUGUCUGUCCAGCUGCCACCAGUCCAGCAGUACAUAACAGUGGGAGUUGUUCCUCAGUGGCAAAGGGAUGGCUCACACAAGGAUGUGUGCCUGGAUUUUAUCCUUAUGACAUUGUUAGCAUUGAUU